GUCGAGUGCGCGGCUGUAGCAAUACAGCUGGCGCACGGCGCACGGGUGCGUAACACGUGGGCAAUCUGCCCUCGGAUGGGGGAUAACCCCGCGAAAGCGGGGCUAAUACCGCAUGACAUUCCGGAGACUCCGGUCUCUGGAUUCAAAGGCCGCAAGGCCGUCUGAGGAGGAGCCCGCGCCCGAUUAGCUUGUUGGCGGGGUAACGGCCCACCAAGGCUAUGAUCGGUAGCCGGUCUGAGAGGAUGGCCGGCCACACUGGAACUGAGACACGGUCCAGACUCCUACGGGAGGCAGCAGUGGGGAAUAUUGCGCAAUGGGCGAAAGCCUGACGCAGCGACGCCGCGUGGGGGAUGAAGCUUCUCGGAGUGUAAACCCCUUUCGACCCGGACGAAUGACCCGCAAGGGUUUGACGGUACGGGUAUAAGAAGCCCCGGCUAACUACGUGCCAGCAGCCGCGGUAAUACGUAGGGGGCCAGCGUUGCUCGGAAUUACUGGGCGUAAAGGGUUCGUAGGCGGUGCGGCAAGUUGGGAGUGAAAUCUCUGGGCUUAACCCAGAGGCUGCUUUCAAAACUGCCGUGCUCGAGUGCGGGAGAGGCCAGUGGAAUUGCAGGUGUAGCGGUGAAAUGCGUAGAUAUCUGCAGGAACACCCGUGGCGAAGGCGGCUGGCUGGACCGCAACUGACGCUGAGGAACGAAAGCUAGGGGAGCAAACAGGAUUAGAUACCCUGGUAGUCCUAGCCCU
rnacentral:rRNA from 1 species